rnacentral:rRNA from 1 species
UCGUCACACUAUCAUUAACUGAAUCCAUAGGUUAAUGAGGCGAACCGGGGGAACUGAAACAUCUAAGUACCCCGAGGAAAAGAAAUCAACCGAGAUUCCCCCAGUAGCGGCGAGCGAACGGGGAGGAGCCCAGAGCCUGAAUCAGCAUGUGUGUUAGUGGAAGCGUCUGGAAAGGCGCGCGAUACAGGGUGACAGCCCCGUACACAAAAGCGUAUGUGCUGUGAGCUCGAUGAGUAGGGCGGGACACGUGGUAUCCUGUCUGAAUAUGGGGGGACCAUCCUCCAAGGCUAAAUACUCCUGACUGACCGAUAGUGAACCAGUACCGUGAGGGAAAGGCGAAAAGAACCCCGGCGAGGGGAGUGAAAAAGAACCUGAAACCGUGUACGUACAAGCAGUGGGAGCCCCACCACUAAGCCAGUGGUGAACUCCACAUACGCAUCCUUUGCUGAGGAUACGGUUAACGGAGCGAAAGCGACGUUCAACCGCAAAAGAAGCAGAGGGGGCUUAGUGGUGGGGUGACUGCGUACCUUUUGUAUAAUGGGUCAGCGACUUAUAUUCUGUAGCAAGGUUAACCGAAUAGGGGAGCCGGAGGGAAACCGAGUCUUAACCGGGCGUUAAGUUGCAGGGUAUAGACCCGAAACCCGGUGAUCUAGCCAUGGGCAGGUUGAAGGUUGGGUAACACUAACUGGAGGACCGAACCGACUAAUGUUGAAAAAUUAGCGGAUGACCUGUGGCUGGGGGUGAAAGGCCAAUCAAACCGGGAGAUAGCUGGUUCUCCCCGAAAGCUAUUUAGGUAGCGCCUCGUGAAUUCAUCUCCGGGGGUAGAGCACUGUUUCGGCUAGGGGGCCAUCCCGGCUUACCAACCCGAUGCAAACUGCGAAUACCGGAGAAUGUUAUCACGGGAGACACACGGCGGGUGCUAACGUCCGUCGUGAAGAGGGAAACAACCCAGACCGCCAGCUAAGGUCCCAAAGUCAUGGUUAAGUGGGAAACGAUGUGGGAAGGCCCAGACAGCCAGGAUGUUGGCUUAGAAGCAGCCAUCAUUUAAAGAAAGCGUAAUAGCUCACUGGUCGAGUCGGCCUGCGCGGAAGAUGUAACGGGGCUAAACCAU